rnacentral:rRNA from 1 species
AGCGAACGCUGGCGGUAUGCUUAACACAUGCAAGUCGAGCGAGAAAAUGGCUUCGGCCAUGAGUACAGCGGCGGACGGGUGAGUAAUACAUGGAUAAUCUGCCUUUAGGACUGGGACAACCCAGGGAAACUUGGGCUAAUACCGGAUAAGACCACAGAAUCUCCGGAUUCAGUGGUAAAAGGUGGCUUCGGCUAUCACCUAUAGAUGAGUCCAUGUCCCAUCAGGUAGUUGGUGAGGUAACGGCCCACCAAGCCUAAGACGGGUAGCCGACCUUAGCGGGUGAUCGGCCACACGGGGACUGAGACACGGCCCCGACUCCUACGGGAGGCAGCAGUGGGGAAUAUUGGACAAUGGGCGCAAGCCUGAUCCAGCAAUACCGCGUGAGGGAUGAAGGCCUUCGGGUCGUAAACCUCUGUCAGUUGGAACGAUGGGUUUGUAGGUUAAUACCCUGCAAACUUGACGGUACCUUCAAAGGAAGCCCCGGCUAACUCCGUG